CGGUAUUGUUCCUGGCUUGAAGGUACUCGUUUAUAUUUCCUUCACUUUUUCCUUUUGGAUUAAUAUUGCAACUUGCUUGCCAUAUUAUUUCAUACCAAAAUUUUCGGUGUAGUUUCACCUCUAUAGAACUUCUUCCAAUGUCUAUCUGCUUCCACAAAGGGCAAAUUGACACUUUUGAAAAUGAAUGCAAUGAUCAUCCAGCUAACAUUAAUCUGGUGUUUUCAAUUCCUG
rnacentral:misc_RNA from 1 species